UGGGGGAUAUUGCACAAUGGGCGAAAGCCUGAUGCAGCGACGCCGCGUGGGGGAUGAAGGCUUUCGGGUUGUAAACCUCUUUCGCUAUCGAACAAGGCCCGCUUAGGGUGGGUUGAGGGUAGGUGGAGAAGAAGCGCCGGCUAACUACGUGCCAGCAGCCGCGGUAAUACGUAGGGCGCGAGCGUUGUCCGGAAUUAUUGGGCGUAAAGGGCUUGUAGGCGGCUUGUUGCGCCUGCUGUGAAAACGCGGGGCUUAACUUCGCGCGUGCAGUGGGUACGGGCAGGCUUGAGUGUGGUAGGGGUGACUGGAAUUCCAGGUGUAGCGGUGGAAUGCGCAGAUAUCUGGAGGAACACCGAUGGCGAAGGCAGGUCACUGGGCCAUUAGUGACGCUGAGGAGCGAAAGCAUGGGUAGCGAACAGG
rnacentral:rRNA from 1 species